AAGUCGUAACAAGGUUUCCGUAGGUGAACCUGCGGAAGGAUCAUUAACGAGUUUUUGAAAGGGGUUGUAGCUGGCCAAAAAAUAAGGCAUGUGCACACCCUGCUCAAUCCACUCUCAAACCCCUGUGCACUUAUUGUAGGCUAUGGUGGGAUAGCUGGCUUCGGUCAGUUUGAAAGCCUUGUCUAUGUUUAUUACAAACGCUUCAGUCAAAGAAUGUCAUAUAGCGUCUAACGCAUUAUAUACAACUUUCAGCAACGGAUCUCUUGGCUCUC
rnacentral:misc_RNA from 1 species